rnacentral:rRNA from 1 species
AGUGAACGCUGGCGGUAGGCCUAACACAUGCAAGUCGAACGGCAGCACAGUAAGAGCUUGCUCUUACGGGUGGCGAGUGGCGGACGGGUGAGGAAUACAUCGGAAUCUACUUUUUCGUGGGGGAUAACGUAGGGAAACUUACGCUAAUACCGCAUACGACCUACGGGUGAAAGCAGGGGAUCUUCGGACCUUGCGCGAUUGAAUGAGCCGAUGUCGGAUUAGCUAGUUGGCGGGGUAAAGGCCCACCAAGGCGACGGUCCGUAGCUGGUCUGAGAGGAUGAAUAGCCACAUGGGAACUGGGGAAGGUUCCAGACUCCGACAGUGGGCAGCAGUGGGGAAUAUUGGACAAUGGGCGCAAGCCUGAUCCAGCCAUACCGGGUGGGUGAAGAAGGCCUUCGGGUUGUAAAGCCCUUUUGUUGGGAAAGAAAAGCAGCAGGUUAAUACCCCGCUGUUCUGACGGUACCCAAAGAAUAAGCACCGGCUAACUUCGUG